CGGCCCCGCACCUGCCCGAACCUUUGCCGCGGCGGUGGCAGGGUACGCGGAACCGCUCCCUCCCAGCCGACUUACGAGAACAUCCCCCGACCAUCCAGCCCCGAGCAGGGACUGGCAGAGCCGGCGCCCCUUCCCCGGACUCCGGCCGCGUAGCCUCCAUCACCACCCCCAGUUCACAGACCUCACGACCUGUGUCAGCAGAGCUGCCCUGCACCGCCAUGUGCAUCAUCUUCUUUAAGUUUGAUCCUCGCCCUGUUUCCAAAAACACGUACAGGCUCAUCUUGGCAGCCAACAGGGACGAAUUCUAUAGCCGACCCUCCAAGUUAGCUGACUUCUGGGGGAACAACAACGAGAUCCUCAGUGGGCUGGACAUGGAGGAAGGCAAGGAAGGAGGCACAUGGCUGGGCAUCAGCACACGUGGCAAGCUGGCAGCGCUCACCAACUACCUGCAGCCGCAGCUGGACUGGCAGGCCCGAGGGCGAGCACAGCAAAGGGAGACGUCAUUUGCUACUAUGGGAACCGAGGGGAGCCUGAUCCCAUCGUUUUGACGCCAGGUGAGCCUGCCCUGGCAGCCUGAUGGGGUGGGGGACUGUUUCUAUGCAGAGGUCACCCCUGUGCUUUUUAGAGACCAGGCCCUUGUCAUAUUACUCUCCUGGGACGACUUUGUGGCCAUUUAAGUGCCUUAUGGUCUGUAGGGACCUUGCCCUGCACCUGGACACUUCAGAGAGCCCUGGCUCCCUGCUCA
rnacentral:sRNA from 1 species